rnacentral:rRNA from 1 species
GGAUUAGAUACCCUGGUAGUCCAUGCCGUAAACGAUGUGUGUUAGACGUUGGAAAUUUAUUUUCAGUGUCGCAGCGAAAGCAGUAAACACACCGCCUGGGGAGUACGACCGCAAGGUUAAAACUCAAAUGAAUUGACGGGGACCCGCACAAGUAGUGGAGCAUGUGGUUUAAUUCGAAGAUACGCGCAGAACCUUACCAACACUUGACAUGUUCGUCGCGAGACUAAGAGAUUAGUUUUUUCAGUUCGGCUGGACGAAACACAGGUGCUGCAUGGCUGUCGUCAGCUCGUGCCG